AUGCUAAAAGCCACUCGCACCACAUUUCCCAGGUCUCACAUUUGGUGGCAGAUCUGUCAGGGACCCUCCUCCCUCGCUGCUCCAGCGUGGGGGUCCGGAGUUCCCGGCUGGCCUUGUCUUGGCUGUUGCAGGCUGCAACCUGUCGUAAAGCAGCUCAGCGUUUGUGGCUCCUUCCCAGCCCAGCAGGGACGUUGGUCAGCACGAGCUGUGAGCUCAGUGCUGGUUUCCAUCCCUCCUGCUUGCGAGGCUCUCAUUAUUUCUUGCUUUGUAAAGCAAAGUGCUCCCAGACUCUUUUCACUUUGCUGCUCGUGCCAGAUGAAACCCACGGCCCGUUUUGAGAUGGAGAGCUUGGACAGGCAGCAGCCGAAACACUGCAAAGCUGUGUCGGUCUGUGAGAUCUCGCUGCCUUUCUGGUCUGCCCCAAACUCCUCCUUGCUGGGCUGGGGAGCGUGGCGGCAUGUGGUGAGGGCUGCCUGCUGCUUAUCGCACCCUGCUGCGGCCAGGAUGGGUGGCACGGCCCCACAGCCACCACGAUGCUCCUUUAUUAUUUGCAGAACAAACAGAAACCUCGCCGGUCUGGCAGCCGCGGGGAAGGCGAGCUGCCUGUGCUCACAUCUGCAGCCUCUGAGGUUCUUCAGAAGCCCCUUGGCUGAGGCCGGGCUGAAUGUAGGUGUUGGGGCAGGUUUUAUUCAUGCGAUUCUCCUUUCUGUUGUUUGCUGUUGUGGUUUUUCAAGCGUGUUUAACCCGUGUCGUUGGACCAAACCUUGGAGACUUGACCCUGGCCACCUCGUAGGACGUUCCUUUGGAGCGAGGAGGAGGGAGCUGCCGCGGCUCCUUGGGGAUGUGCUGGUUUGGGUGGCAAUGUGGGUGAAGGAGGGCCCCUGGCUGGGACCAGCCGUCGUAUCUGGUGCCCAUCCAGCUGAUGGUCAUCGGUGGGGUUUCACCGAUGGGGACCCAGCUCCAUUUCGUGACUCCUGCAGUUGCUUUGGGGCCGCAGGUUGA
rnacentral:lncRNA from 1 species